rnacentral:rRNA from 1 species
AGUGAACGCUGGCGGUAGGCCUAACACAUGCAAGUCGAACGGCAGCACAGUAAGAGCUUGCUCUUACGGGUGGCGAGUGGCGGACGGGUGAGGAAUACAUCGGAAUCUACUUUUUCGUGGGGGAUAACGUAGGGAAACUUACGCUAAUACCGCAUACGACCUACGGGUGAAAGCAGGGGAUCUUCGGACCUUGCGCGAUUGAAUGAGCCGAUGUCGGAUUAGCUAGUUGGCGGGGUAAAGGCCCACCAAGGCGACGAUCCGUAGCUGGUCUGAGAGGAUGAUCAGCCACACUGGAACUGAGACACGGUCCAGACCCCUACGGGAGGCAGCAGUGGGGAAUAUUGGACAAUGGGCGCAAGCCUGAUCCAGCCAUACCGCGUGGGUGAAGAAGGCCUUCGGGUUGUAAAGCCCUUUUGUUGGGAAAGAAAAGCAGCAGGUUAAUACCCCGCUGUUCCGACGGUACCCAAAGAAUAAGCACCGGCUAACUUCGUG